rnacentral:lncRNA from 1 species
CUCGUACAUCAUAAACAAAUUCAUAAAAAGUUUGCCGUUUGCUCUUCCUCUGUGGUGGCUGCUGCUGCCCCAUUCGCGUUGCACUUCAAACUCCACAGUUUAUGGCGUUGAAAGGCGCAUCGAAUGGCUUCGGUCCUGUCCCUCUCUCUCUCUCUCUCUAUCUCUCUCUGGCUCGUUCUGCUCCAAAGGUGAGGUUUUGGUCUGCAGUUUGAUUUUUGCUAGUAGAACAAUACCCCGCAGCCCGCGGUCUGCUAACCGCUGACCACUCUGCAAGCCAACUCAACCCCUGGAGUUGGACUCAUUAAAAUGUAAUUUGAACGCGUUGCUUCGCAUUUCAUUUGAAUGGAGACUCGGAGACGGACCUGCCCUGGAGUCGAUGUAAGUUAGAGACGGUCAAGUGAGCAAAUGCCACUCGGAGUGGAGUCAGUUUCCAUUUCAUUGAGCGCGAAACAACCCUCGACCCGAGACUAGACUUCUGACCAACUCUCCUUCUGGCUCGCUCUCAUUCGCUGUCCUUUUCUGGCCCGGAGUUUGAUUGAUUCCCGUCCCGGCUGUUGCCUUCUCCUUCUCGUGAGGGUUCAGUCAUUUGUGGCACAUUAUUAUUUGAAUGAUAAAUUGUAUUUGGUCGGGAACUUUGUUCAUUGCUUUGCAUUUCCCUUUAUAGCCGGGACCUCCAUUCCUGCCAGACCCGUCUCCGCCUUUAGUUUCGUGGGUGUUUCCGUGUUGCG